CCUACAAGCGAGGGAGACUACUGGGAAUACAUUAAAAAAACAUGAAUCCGAUUUUUCAGUAAAAACAAUUGGAGAUUUGUUUGGAGGCCGUCCCUCCCGGUCAGUCCUACGAGAAGACGAAGGCAGCGAGGCGUGUGCGAUUGCAGGUUAGCGAGGACAGAAGCCAGGACGCAGCGGCGGGCACAGGGCCCCGAACGGACGCGGCGCCAAAGCGGAACCGACGUCGCUCGUCGGGCCGCUUAAGCGGGGGCGAUGCACCCGAAUGCGGACGCGCUCUGCUCGCUAUUUGUCUCCUGCGGACGCGAAAUGCCUUCGCCGUGUCCUCGUCGAACGCUCAAGCCUCCAGAAACGCCGAGUUCACGGCCAACGUGUACCUUCCAAAAACAAACGCUGUAGAGUUGACUUGGACACAGCUGUUAAAAGGAAAAAAGCCCAACAUUCACAUUUUCACAUUUUCCACUCGUUCAAACCGGGACAAGUCUUAACUCAUCCCUAAUUCAAAAUUCUCAGCAUGCAUGUGUUUGGGGGGUGGGCUGCUUGGUUUUAGGCCUGUUUCUGUGUUUUUAGGGUCCAAGGGUCAGGUUGGUGUUGGGGACCGGACGACGACGGCGUUCAGGGUCGAGUCACCGCUGUUGAAAAACGAGCUCCAUCUGCAGCCUCACGCCGUCCGUCCGCGGGCGCCUAUUAAGUUUACGGCGAAACAUUUGUCAUGUGCUGGCGCUGACCUUAAUCUACCAGCAGAGGUCACGCACGUGCGCACAUGCCUGUGCGGUCAAUAAAGGGCGUUGAGCGGCGCACACAAAGCCUCUCGCCAUGUAACCUGUCACAAUUGCUUUAGUUGAAUCGAAAUAAAGCGGCGGCGGUGUCGGUGCGGCCGCGGCGUGACGCUGGCAGCUCGCCGCUUCCAUCGCCGCCGCCGCUUCAGCCCAGCCAUCCGUCCCCUCGGCCCAACGCGGCGCACAUUGCGGCUUCCGCCUGCCUGAGUCGCCACUGACUCCAACACACGUUUGCUUUCCUUCCUUUUUGUCAAUAAAUGCAGUACGACUUCAUACCGCAACAUUGUAGAGAAUAGCCUGCCUUUUAUCGUCACUACGGCUCCUUCUCCACUGCAGACAUGGAUGUUGAAUAUGAAAAAUAAAGAAUCAAAUAUUUUAAAGGAGAUCAAUAGUAAUGCAAGAACAUAAAUAACAGAGUUGUGGUCUGCGUAGUAGUAUUGCACAGUUUAUGGUAGCGAUGGGACGAACAACACUGAUGCGUCAGCACUGUGCCGCGCGCACAGGAGUGAAAUACCGUAUUGGUGCGUGUAUUGCUUUAAGAAAAAAAAAAAUCAUGUGACCGAUACAGGAAGUGUGUCGUUCGGAUGUGCCGCGCCAAAUUGUGUUUAUGAGGAAACAAACUGUGUCGAGGUGUUGCGGAUUUGUCGGACGGAGUUUUGCUGUUGCUGUUGGAUUUUUGGGAUUUGGGGAUUUUUGCCUGCCACUCACCUUGAACCACUGACUUCAUGAAUCAGUCCAAGAACGUUUCCCCAGUCUGGAAUCAUUUGGAUCUUUUCACACCAAAUAAGUGUCAGCUCAGAGCCAUCUUCGAUCAAUAAGAGCACUGGAUCGAUGCUGAGGCAUCGUCGAGCUCGGCAUGGCGAUGAAGAAUUGGCAGAUACUCGCGUGAGUAGCCCAGUUCCGAACGAGCAAGCAGUGGACGAGGCUGCGGUCGACAUGAUCAUCAAAGACCGUCGGCCGCUCAGCGUUGUUGAAAAUGAGGAUUCUGGGAGCUCCUGAAGCGCAUCAAGUCGCACUUCAACUUUUAUGCUCACCGUCUUCAUCUGGACCCGGUCAAAGAGUUUUUUCCAAGGCAGGAGAACACCGCGGUGUCUAAGAGGAGAAAUCACCUUGGAGCAAAGACACUUUGUUUUGUUCCUCAAU